rnacentral:rRNA from 1 species
GGUUAAGCGACUAAGCGUACACGGUGGAUGCCCUGGCAGUCAGAGGCGAUGAAGGACGUGCUAAUCUGCGAUAAGCGUCGGUAAGGUGAUAUGAACCGUUAUAACCGGCGAUUUCCGAAUGGGGAAACCCAGUGUGAUUCGUCACACUAUCAUUAACUGAAUCCAUAGGUUAAUGAGGCGAACCGGGGGAACUGAAACAUCUAAGUACCCCGAGGAAAAGAAAUCAACCGAGAUUCCCCCAGUAGCGGCGAGCGAACGGGGAGCAGCCCAGAGCCUGAAUCAGUGUGUGUGUUAGUGGAAGCGUCUGGAAAGGCGUGCGAUACAGGGUGACAGCCCCGUACACAAAAAUGCACAUGCUGUGAGCUCGAUGAGUAGGGCGGGACACGUGGUAUCCUGUCUGAAUAUGGGGGGACCAUCCUCCAAGGCUAAAUACUCCUGACUGACCGAUAGUGAACCAGUACCGUGAGGGAAAGGCGAAAAGAACCCCGGCGAGGGGAGUGAAAAAGAACCUGAAACCGUGUACGUACAAGCAGUGGGAGCACGCUUAGGCGUGUGACUGCGUACCUUUUGUAUAAUGGGUCAGCGACUUAUAUUCUGUAGCAAGGUUAACCGAAUAGGGGAGCCGAAGGGAAACCGAGUCUUAACUGGGCGUUAAGUUGCAGGGUAUAGACCCGAAACCCGGUGAUCUAGCCAUGGGCAGGUUGAAGGUUGGGUAACACUAACUGGAGGACCGAACCGACUAAUGUUGAAAAAUUAGCGGAUGACUUGUGGCUGGGGGUGAAAGGCCAAUCAAACCGGGAGAUAGCUGGUUCUCCCCGAAAGCUAUUUAGGUAGCGCCUCGUGAAUUCAUCUCCGGGGGUAGAGCACUGUUUCGGCAAGGGGGUCAUCCCGACUUACCAACCCGAUGCAAACUGCGAAUACCGGAGAAUGUUAUCACGGGAGACACACGGCGGGUGCUAACGUCCGUCGUGAAGAGGGAAACAACCCAGACCGCCAGCUAAGGUCCCAAAGUCAUGGUUAAGUGGGAAACGAUGUGGGAAGGCCCAGACAGCCAGGAUGUUGGCUUAGAAGCAGCCAUCAUUUAAAGAAAGCGUAAUAGCUCACUGGUCGAGUCGGCCUGCGCGGAAGAUGUAACGGGGCUAAACCAUGCACCGAAGCUGCGGCAGCGACGCUUAUGCGUUGUUGGGUAGGGGAGCGUUCUGUAAGCCUGUGAAGGUGUACUGUGAGGUAUGCUGGAGGUAUCAGAAGUGCGAAUGCUGACAUAAGUAACGAUAAAGCGGGUGAAAAGCCCGCUCGCCGGAAGACCAAGGGUUCCUGUCCAACGUUAAUCGGGGCAGGGUGAGUCGACCCCUAAGGCGAGGCCGAAAGGCGUAGUCGAUGGGAAACAGGUUAAUAUUCCUGUACUUGGUGUUACUGCGAAGGGGGGACGGAGAAGGCUAUGUUGGCCGGGCGACGGUUGUCCCGGUUUAAGCGUGUAGGCUGGUUUUCCAGGCAAAUCCGGAAAAUCAAGGCUGAGGCGUGAUGACGAGGCACUACGGUGCUGAAGCAACAAAUGCCCUGCUUCCAGGAAAAGCCUCUAAGCAUCAGGUAACAUCAAAUCGUACCCCAAACCGACACAGGUGGUCAGGUAGAGAAUACCAAGGCGCUUGAGAGAACUCGGGUGAAGGAACUAGGCAAAAUGGUGCCGUAACUUCGGGAGAAGGCACGCUGAUAUGUAGGUGAAGUCCCUCGCGGAUGGAGCUGAAAUCAGUCGAAGAUACCAGCUGGCUGCAACUGUUUAUUAAAAACACAGCACUGUGCAAACACGAAAGUGGACGUAUACGGUGUGACGCCUGCCCGGUGCCGGAAGGUUAAUUGAUGGGGUCAGCGCAAGCGAAGCUCUUGAUCGAAGCCCCGGUAAACGGCGGCCGUAACUAUAACGGUCCUAAGGUAGCGAAAUUCCUUGUCGGGUAAGUUCCGACCUGCACGAAUGGCGUAAUGAUGGCCAGGCUGUCUCCACCCGAGACUCAGUGAAAUUGAACUCGCUGUGAAGAUGCAGUGUACCCGCGGCAAGACGGAAAGACCCCGUGAACCUUUACUAUAGCUUGACACUGAACAUUGAGCCUUGAUGUGUAGGAUAGGUGGGAGGCUUUGAAGUGUGGACGCCAGUCUGCAUGGAGCCGACCUUGAAAUACCACCCUUUAAUGUUUGAUGUUCUAACGUUGACCCGUGAUCCGGGUUGCGGACAGUGUCUGGUGGGUAGUUUGACUGGGGCGGUCUCCUCCUAAAGAGUAACGGAGGAGCACGAAGGUUGGCUAAUCCUGGUCGGACAUCAGGAGGUUAGUGCAAUGGCAUAAGCCAGCUUGACUGCGAGCGUGACGGCGCGAGCAGGUGCGAAAGCAGGUCAUAGUGAUCCGGUGGUUCUGAAUGGAAGGGCCAUCGCUCAACGGAUAAAAGGUACUCCGGGGAUAACAGGCUGAUACCGCCCAAGAGUUCAUAUCGACGGCGGUGUUUGGCACCUCGAUGUCGGCUCAUCACAUCCUGGGGCUGAAGUAGGUCCCAAGGGUAUGGCUGUUCGCCAUUUAAAGUGGUACGCGAGCUGGGUUUAGAACGUCGUGAGACAGUUCGGUCCCUAUCUGCCGUGGGCGCUGGAGAACUGAGGGGGGCUGCUCCUAGUACGAGAGGACCGGAGUGGACGCAUCACUGGUGUUCGGGUUGUCAUGCCAAUGGCACUGCCCGGUAGCUAAAUGCGGAAGAGAUAAGUGCUGAAAGCAUCUAAGCACGAAACUUGCCCCGAGAUGAGUUCUCCCUGACUCCUUGAGAGUCCUGAAGGAACGUUGAAGACGACGACGUUGAUAGGCCGGGUGUGUAAGCGCAGCGAUGCGUUGAGCUAACCGGUACUAAUGAACCGUGAGGCUUAACCUU